ACGAAACAACUUAAAUUUCUUUCCUUUCUUGUUUAUAAAUUAUAAUAAUUAUAUUAUAGACUAUACUACUAUAGUACAAAGUUUUACUGAUUUCAGUAAACUCAACUAAAAUAAUGGCAACUCAAGCUCUUCUUUCUUCUUCUCUCACUGUUUGUCCAAGCUUCAACUUCAAGGGUGAUAAACAUGGCUUAAGGGAUUCAUCAUUGAAUACUAAGCCAUUGAAAUUUGUGAAGGUUUCCACUGGUUUUAAAGUAAGAGCACAAGCUGAUUCGAGAGGAAUCGAAAUCCCAAAACAUUGGUACAAUAUAACUGCUGAUCUUUCUGUUAAACCCGCCCCACCACUGAAUCCUCGGACUUUUGAGCCUGUUAAACCGGAAGAUUUGGAACCUCUCUUCCCUGAAGAGUUGAUCAAGCAGGAAGUGAGCAAUGAAAGAUUCAUUGAAAUACCGGAGGAGGUUAUUGAUAUUUAUAGUCUAUGGAGACCAACUCCUCUAAUCAGAGCCAAGAGAUUGGAGAAGCUCCUUGGAACUCCUGCGAGGAUUUAUUACAAGUAUGAAGGUGUUAGCCCUGCAGGAUCACAUAAGCCUAACAGUUCUGUACCGCAAGCAUGGUACAACGCGCAGGCAGGUGUCAAAAAGAUUGUGACUGAAACUGGAGCUGGACAAUGGGGUAGUGCCCUUGCCUUUGCUUGCAGCAUAUUCAACCUAGAAUGCGAAGUGUGGCAAGUUCGUGCGUCGUAUGAUCAGAAACCUUAUAGGAAACUGAUGAUGCAGACUUGGGGUGCCAAGGUUCAUCCAUCACCAUCUGACUUAACUGAGGCAGGCCGGAAAAUCCUUCAAUCAGAUCCAUUGAGCCCUGGCAGUCUAGGAAUAGCAAUAUCAGAAGCCGUAGAGGUUGCUGCAACAAAUCCUGAUACAAAAUACUGUCUAGGAAGUGUGCUUAACCAUGUCCUGUUACAUCAGACUAUUAUAGGCGAGGAAUGUAUAAAACAGAUGGAAGCAUUUGGUGAGACCCCUGAUGUGAUAAUUGGGUGUACUGGUGGAGGGUCCAAUUUUGGAGGGCUAUGUUUCCCUUUUAUUAGGGAAAAACUGAGUGGUAAAAUGAAUCCUCUCAUAAGAGCUGUUGAGCCUGCUGCUUGCCCUUCCUUGACCAAAGGGGUGUUUACUUAUGAUUACGGUGAUACUGCUGGGAUGACUCCGUUGCUGAAGAUGCACACUCUUGGUCAUGACUUCAUUCCAGACCCUAUCCAUUCCGGUGGACUGCGUUACCAUGGUAUGGCACCAUUGAUUUCACAUGCAUAUGAAUUGGGUUUGAUGGAAGCAGUGGCUAUUCCACAAACUGAAUGUUUCCAAGGUGCUAUACAAUUUGCAAGGUCUGAAGGACUGAUCCCUGCACCUGAACCAACCCACGCCUUAGCAGCCGUUAUCAGGGAGGCUCUCCAUUGCAAAGAGACAGGAGAAUCUAAAGUGAUUCUAAUGGCAAUGUGUGGACAUGGCCACUUUGACUUGCCAGCGUAUGACAGCUUUUUGCAAGGAAAAUUGGUCGAUCUGUCCUUUUCCGAGGAGAAGAUACGGGAAUCACUUGCCAAAAUCCCCCAACGUGUGUCUUGAAGAGCUGAAUCCUUAAAAGGUGCUGUCCGUCUUGAUGUUGGGAAGCCUCACAAUCUUAAUGACUUCACUUUCUGGUUCCAAGAUCAAGCGAUGGGUAUAGCUGACUGGUCCAUAGUCAGGAAGUGCUUAAUCCGCAAGGAUAUUUGUUGUCAUGGCUUAAAGGAUAACUUCUUCUUUUCAAACAAUCUUAAGCAAGGUUGCUGCCGCCAACCUGCCAACUGCACUGUAAACUUUUUGACAAAACACGACUGUGAUGUUUGGAAUAGGGACACCAAAAUAAUGUGCUACUACUGCAGUACUUGUGCAGAGGGGUUUGUUAGCCAACUCGCCGUAUUGUGGAAAAGGUUGUUUCCGGGGAUUGUCGUACUCCUCGUUGUCCUCAUUAUAGUUUUUAUUAUUGGAUGCCGGGCUUUCAGGCAGAAUAAGGCAGAUCAUUAUAGAAGACUCCAUCAAAAUGAUCAAACUGCUGCUAGGACUUGAACUUCAAAUCAGAUAAUUUUAGAGCUGUAGAACACUUUUAGAUACUCUCAUUUGGAAGUGCAUUUUACCUUAGAAACACAUUGUAAUUUUGGGUGUUUUUUAAAAUUGCCCCUUUCAAGUUUUUACUACAACACUUAUAUUGGCUGCUAGCAAGCUAGCAGCAAUGUUUUACAUCUAUGCCUGUAAGAUGUGUAAUUUGCAACCACAGAGAUCUCCAAGAUAA